GGAGGGGUGGCAGAGCGGUCGAAUGCGGCGGUCUUGAAAACCGUUGAUCCGUUACGCGGGUCCGGGGGUUCAAAUCCCUCCCCCUCCG
rnacentral:tRNA from 1 species